rnacentral:rRNA from 1 species
AAGUGGAGAAGGGUUCCAUGUGAACAGCAGUUGAACAUGGGUCAGUCGGUCCUAAGGGAUAGGCGAAGGCCGUUCGGAAGGGGGGGGCGAUGGCCUCCGUCGCCCCCGUGUCGAUCGAAAGGGAAUCGGGUCCAGAUCCCCGAACCCGGAGUGGCGGAAACGGGCGCCGCGAGGCGCCCAGUGCGGUAACGCAAACAAACCCGGAAAAGCUGGCGGGGGCCCCGGGAAGAGUUCUCUUUUCUUUGUGAAGGGCCGGGCGCCCUGGAAUGGGUUCGUCCCGAGAUAGGGGCCCACGCCCUGGAAAGCGCCGCGGUUCCGGCGGCGUCCGGUGAGCUCUCGUCGGCCCUUGAAAAUCCGGGGGAAAAGGUGUAAUUCUCGCGCCGGGCCGUACCCAUAUCCGCAGCAGGUCUCCAAGGUGAACAGCCUCUGGCAUGUUGGAUCAAGGCAUGUAAGGGAAGUCGGCAAGUCAAAUCCGUAACUUCGGGAUAAGGAUUGGCUCU